rnacentral:rRNA from 1 species
UACGUAGGGGGCUAGCGUUGUCCGGAAUCAUUGGGCGUAAAGAGCGUGUAGGCGGCCAGAUAGGUCCGUUGUGAAAACUGGAGGCUUAACCUCCAGCUGUCGAUGGAAACCAUCUGGCUAGAGUCCGGAAGAGGAGAGUGGAAUUCCUGGUGUAGCGGUGAAAUGCGCAGAUAUCAGGAAGAACACCCGUGGCGAAGGCGGCUCUCUGGGACGGUACUGACGCUGAGACGCGAAAGCGUGGGGAGCAAACAGG